rnacentral:misc_RNA from 1 species
GGUGUUUGAUAAAUCAAAAUAAAAAUAAAUAUACAAGAUAAUUUUUUUUCCAUUAUAUAUUUGGUUGAAAUUUAGGAGGCAUUUUGCCUGUAGCAUGAGAAAAUCUUAUUCUUCUAUAUACAAAAAAGAGUUCAACAUGGAGGCAAUUAUUAAUAAUUAGAAGACAUAUUACUAAAUAAUAAUUCAAACCCAUCUCUUGAUAAUCCUCACCUUCAAGCCAUGUUUCAUCUGAAGAAUAAUGGAGAUAUUAGGAGACACAGGAUGCCCUUCCACUAACUGAACAUGGUAGUUAUGGAUUAUGGCAGCUGCCACCGUCUUCAUCUGAACGAAAGCCACUUCUUUCCCCAAACAAGUUCUUGGUCCUGCAUUAAAAGCUAAAAACUUGUAUGAUGGCUCAUGCCUGAUCUUUCCUCCCUCUGUAAUCCACCUUUCUGGCUUAAAUUCGAAGCAGUCUUUUCCCCAUAUGGAUGCCAUUCUUCCCAUUGAAUAUAAGCAUAUCACUAUCUUCAUUUCAGGAGUCACUCGGUGCCCGCUUGGAAGCACAUCUUCCUUGAUAGGCUCCUUGUGCUGGAAUGGAACUGGUGGGUAGAGCCUUAGCGAUUCACAGAGUGCACCAUGAAGAUAAACUAGCUUGUUUACCUCCUGUGGAUUGAAUAGUCGCCAAUUUUCUGCUUCGUUUGCUGGCAUACUUGCUUUAAGCUCCUCUCUGAUCUUGCUUUCUACUUGAGGAUUCUUGGAAACAAGCCAUAAGAACCAUGUGAGAGCAGAACUUGUGGUGUCUCUCCCUGCAAGUAGCAAAUUUAUAAUGGUAUCUCUUAGAAAUUUGUCGUCUGGUUUAGAUCCCAUGAUUUCAGCAUCUCUCAUAUAUGAUGUUAACAAAUCAACACCCUCUGAUUCAUCUUCUGAGGAAAGUGAUAGACUGCUGAGUUGUUUUCUUUUCCUUGAGAUAUAUUCUGCUGAUAUACUAUCUAGAAUUUUCCAAGCUCUUUCUAUUUUCCCCUCUGGUCCGAUUCUUAGAAUCCUUUGUAACUUCCAGAGCCAUUCAGGCGUUAAAUGCCUGAAAAACAACGCUUCUUCAGCAUCAUCCAUGGCCUUGGAGAAUUCUACUUCUGGGAAAUCAAUCGACAGGCAUCUUGGAUUGUAGCCUGUAGCCAAUAUGCAUGUGAUAUCAAAUGUGAACCUCUGAAACACAUCUUGCAUGUCCACCACUAAUCCUUGUUCAGCUACAUGCUCAAGGACUGGAACUAGCCCUUUCUCCACCAUGUCCCGACUGGUCUUCACCAAGAACUGGUGAAACCGCGGAUGGUUAAUCAAUGCUUGAGCAAGUUUUCUCUGGUUCUUCCACCAUUCUGAAUCCGAAUUGAAAAUCCCUCGUCCCAGAAUGUCAAAGAUCUUGGAGAACUCGGUUCCUUUAGGAAAGUUUGAGAAGUUUGCGCUCAUUAUGUAGUGGACGUUGGCUGGCUCAACUGUGGCUAACAAUUUGACGUUGGUAAACCAGGGACCUUGGAAGAAAAAGGUUUUCCCAUUUCGCUCAACAACUUUUGUGAUUGUAUCGUGUGCUCGGUGAAGGCGGGAAAGAAAAUUCGGCAGCAUACCGACGACUGGCCAAUUUGUGGGUUUGCCCUUUUUUUUGAACAAAAAGCGAAACAACACAAAACUAACGACUGCUGCGAAGAUCUCCAGAAUGGUUACUAUGGCCAUUGCUAAGCUCUGCGCACUACUUUGAGUUCUUGAAACCAGAGUCUCGGUCUCUCUCUCUAUAUACAAUAUAAAAAUAUCUUUCCAGUUUCUCCA